GACGAACGCUGGCGGCGUGCUUAACACAUGCAAGUCGAACGGAAAGGCCCUGCUUGCAGGGUACUCGAGUGGCCAACGGGCGAGUAACACGUGGGUGCUCUGCCCUGUACUUCGGGAUAAGCCUGGGAAACUGGGUCUAAUACCGGAUAGGAGCUACUACCAGCGUGAUGGUUGGAAAGUUUUUCCGGUGUUGGAUGAGCUGGCGGCCUAACAGCUUGUUGGGGGGGUAAUGGCCUACCAAGGCGGCGACGGGUAGCCGGCCUGAGAGGGUGGACGGCCACAUUGAGACUGAGGUGCGGCCCAAGUGCGUACGAGAGGAAGCAGGGGGGAAUAUUGCACAAUGGGCACAAGCCUGAUGCAGCGACGCCGCGUGGGGGAUAACGGCCUUCGGGUUGUAAACACCUAUCGCGAGGGACGAAGCUUUUUGUGACGGUACCUAGAGAAGAAGCACCGGCUAACUACGUG
rnacentral:rRNA from 1 species